rnacentral:rRNA from 1 species
AAAGGUAAGCUACUAAGAGCGAAUGGUGGAUGCCUUGACUGGUAAAGGCGAUGAAGGACGUACUAGACUGCGAUAAGCUACGGGGAGCUGUCAAGAAGCUUUGAUCCGUAGAUUUCCGAAUGGGGCAACCCAAUGUAUAGAGAUAUACAUUACCUAUAUAGGAGCGAACGAGGGGAAUUGAAACAUCUUAGUACCCUCAGGAAAAGAAAUCAAUAGAGAUUGCGUCAGUAGCGGCGAGCGAAAGCGCAAGAGGGCAAACCCAGUGCUUGCACUGGGGGUUGUAGGACUGCAAUGUGCAAGAGGUGAGUUUAGCAGAACAUUCUGGAAAGUAUAGCCAUAGAGGGUGAUAGUCCCGUAUGCGAAAAACAAACCUUAGCUAGCAGUAUCCUGAGUAGGGCGGGACACGAGAAAUCCUGUCUGAAGCUGGGUCGACCACGAUCCAACCCUAAAUACUAAUACCAGAUCGAUAGUGCACAAGUACCGUGAGGGAAAGGUGAAAAGAACUGAGGUGAUCAGAGUGAAAUAGAACCUGAAACCAUUUGCUUACAAUCAUUCAGAGCCCUAUGUAGCAAUACAGGGUGAUGGACUGCCUUUUG